UGGAUGUUGAGGCGAUCCUGGCAUCACUCAGGGCUGCGCUGGAUGGUGAAAAAGGGGACAUGGGGGCUAAGGUCGACGACCCUGGUGCUCGUAAACGCGAUGCACCCGUGGCUCGACCUUUAUAGGAACCAGGCUGCGGCACAGAUCCUGGUGGAAGGGUUUGAGCUGGGUUUUUGGAUCCCUUUCUCCGCGCGCCCUCCACGGCACUCCGUUCAGAACCUCAGGUCCGUGCGGGAUUUCCC